GCGCUGCGCGCUCUGACUGUGAUGACGCCAGGGCUGAGCCGCUGUAGACUGCUUGCGGUGAGGGACCAGUGGACACCUGAAUUAGCAUCAUAUGGAGGACAUAUUUGAGUACUGCCGCUGACUUCUUAAAUCCUUUCCUAUUCUCAGAUAAGUAUCUGUGUUUUUAAAGAAAAAAGUCAUUGAGCAUCUUGGCACAUGCUUCCCAAGUGGGACUCAUUACCCUCUUCUGAAGGAGUGAACAUACUAAAAAAGCUUUGGAGGAUGAAAAGGAGGAAUGGAUGGAUGGAUGGAAAAUAGAGAACUUUUACUUCAAUGAAACUAUCACGUGUAACACUGCAAUGGUGGCUACCUAACAUUAUGUAUUUUUCAAAACCCAAAGAACUAUACAACGCAAAGGAUGAACCCUAAUACAGAAGACCCUUCGUGAAUGGACCAUGAAUUGAACUUUGACAUAGACCCCUCUAUUUUAAUACU